rnacentral:lncRNA from 1 species
GAUAAAAAGACUAAUGAGCUCUAAGUUUUCAAUCCAAGGACUGACCUCUAUGGUCCAGGACAUCAGUUCCAGGUGACAGUCUCUUCAAGCCAUACAGAUUCUUCAGAGUGAGAUCCAGGCUACAAUACAACAGGCUCGAGAAAAACCCUUUGCGAAGUUCCAGCCCCACAGUUUCAAGCCAGGAGACCUGGUCCUGAUAUGCUUGGUUUGCUUGCACUGAGGACUUGACUAAAUACAUUCCCAAAUCAGUCUUGGCUACCCAAUCUGCCACUUUAUUUUGUGUCACCAUAUAUGUUGUUCCACAAGUGUUGUAUUGUAAUAAAAAAGGUGGCCAUGAACAUCUGGGAUUAACCACAGAACACUAUAGGAGUAAACAGGCUGCCCCCAUUUUAGUGCCCAUUCUGGUGGGAUUAGGAAUAGCCAGGUCAGCGGCUAUUGGAACUUCCUCCCUGAUCCUUCAGGACACAAAUUUUAAAGCCCUAAGCCACCAAGUAGCCAGAGAUUUGGGUCACCUGAAAAACUCGAUCUUCAGAUUAAAAAAAAACAGGUUGAUUCUCUAGCUGAGAUGGUCCUGCAAAAUCUAAGGGGACUUGACCUCCUGUUCAUAAAACAAGGAGGGUUAUAUGUAGCCCUAGAAAAAAACCCUGUUGCUUCUAUGCUAAUGGUUAACUACCCUAGUUUCUGCUGUAACAGGCCCCCUAGUUAUCUUACUUCUGCUUUUGCUCAUGAGACCUUGCAUUAUAAAUGCUCUGACUAAAUAUGUUAGACAGAGGGUUGGUGCAGUUAAACUGAUGGUGUUGAGACAAAAUUAUGAGAUUUUAAAAGACGUUUUAAAAAAAAUUCAGAGUAAAUAUAGGAAUCAAAGAUUUGAUUAAGUUACAAGAACCAGUGGGGAAUGAAGGACCUUAGUUAGCAAGACAGACUCCAUAUUGCUGCUUGACCCACCUGCCUGCCCUUUAGAUGAACUCAGAAGGAGGAAGCUUAAAAACCUCCUCCCCUUGGAAAGUCUCUUUAGAAAUAACAAUUAAUCAACUAUUGUUUUACAAAUGUUCGAACAGCAGGAUGUUCUGCUACUGUACCUUUUGCUUACCUUUUACUUCUAUCCCAUAGGGGG